GACGAACGCUGGCGGCGUGCCUAAUACAUGCAAGUCGAACGCAGUUGCGAACGGGUGAGUAACGCGUAGCUAACUGCCUCAUAGCGGGGGAUAACUAUUGGAAACGAUAGCUAAUACCGCAUCCUGUGAGAUGGACCUGCGUUGUAUUAGCUAGUUGGUGAGGUAAAGGCUCACCAAGGCGACGAUACAUAGCCGGCCUGAGAGGCGGGUCGGCCAGACUGGGACUGUGGCAAGGCCCAGACUGCUCAGGGAGGCAGCAGUAGGGACACUUCGGGAAUGGGCGGAAGGGGGACCGAGCAACGGCGGGGGAGUGACGAAGGUUUUCGGAUCGUAAAGCUCGUUUGUUAGAGAAGCGGUAGCUAACCAGAAAGGGACGGCUAACUACGUGCCAGCAGCCGCGGUAAUUC
rnacentral:rRNA from 1 species